ensembl:lncRNA
GUUAGUACUGUAGUACUGCUGGGGUUAUACAGGUUAGUACUGCUGGGGUUAUACAGGUUAGUACUGUAGUACUGCUGGGGUUAUACAGGUUAGUACUGCUGGGGUUAUACAGGUUAGUACUGCUGGGGUUAUACAGGUUAGUACUGUUGUACUGCUGGGGUUAUACAGGUUAGUACUGCUGGGGUUAUACAGGUUAGUACUGCUGGGGUUAUACAGGUUAGUACUGCUGGGGUUAUACAGGUUAGUACUGCUGGGGUUAUACAGGUUAGUACUGUAGUACUGCUGGGGUUAUACAGGUUAGUACUGCUGGGGUUAUACAGGUUAGUACUGUAGUACUAAUCCACCAUUCUCUGGCUCCGCCCCCCUCCAUCUCUCUCUGGCUCCGCCCCCCCUCCACCUCUCUCUCUGGCUCCGCCCACCCUCCACCUCUCUAGAUGUGUGGUGUGAUGGUAUCAGCCAGUGAAGACUCCACCCCCUCAGUGAUCUACCACUGUGUGUUGCGUGGGU